UACGGAGGGGGCUAGCGUUGUUCGGAAUUACUGGGCGUAAAGCGCACGUAGGCGGCUUUGCAAGUUAGAGGUGAAAGCCCGGGGCUCAACUCCGGGUCUGCAGUCGAUACGGGCAGACUAGAGUUCGGUAGGGGAGACUGGAAUUCCUGGUGUAGCGGUGAAAUGCGCAGAUAUCAGGAGGAACACCGGUGGCGAAGGCGGGUCUCUGGGCCGAUACUGACGCUGAGGAGCGAAAGCGUGGGGAGCAAACAGG
rnacentral:rRNA from 1 species